GUUAGAAUAGAAAAAACGUAGAAUGCAGGAGGAAAGGUGCAGUUGUAGUUAAUCUGCUAAAUUAGUGAAACUAAUUUCACUCCCCAAGAUGAGAGUGCCAAGGCAGUGGGAAAGUGGUAAGAAAAGUCCUUGUAGCAGUAGCUGUUUAAGCUGUUCUCAAGUUGUCAGAAAAUGGCUGAGGGACACAGAAAUAUUUUUCUUCACUUCCUAUGAGCAGAUGAUGAGCUAAAAGACAUUUGGAGCUUCCAAACACUUUUGCAGACGUGCUGGAAGUGACAUUCAUGCCAAGUUAUUGAAUGUAAAAGCAGUGCAGUGUGAUCCAGGGUUGUGACUCGAAGGUUUCAACUGCCAGAAAAGUGGAAAAAGCCCGAAGCAAGUACUGGAAUUGUCAGAAAAGAAACGGUGAUAACCAGCAGAGGAGAUUGAGAUUGGUGCCUGUUCUUCUUCAGUUGCCAGAGGCUUCACAGAAGUGAAGGGUCUGGAACACAAGUCUUAUGAGGAGCAGCUGAGAGAGCUGGGAUUGUUCAGCUUGAAGAAAAGGAGGCUCAGGAGACCUUAUUUCUCUCUACAGCUACUUGAAAGGAGGUUGUUGGCAAGGUGGGUGUUGGC